rnacentral:rRNA from 1 species
UACAGAGGGUGCGAGCGUUAAUCGGAAUUACUGGGCGUAAAGCGCACGUAGGCGGCUUGGUAUGUCGGGUGUGAAAUCCCCCGGGCUCAACCUGGGAACUGCAUCCGAAACUGCCUUGCUCGAGUAUGGGAGAGGGAAGUGGAAUUUCCGGUGUAGCGGUGAAAUGCGUAGAUAUCGGAAGGAACAUCAGUGGCGAAGGCGACUUCCUGGACCAAUACUGACGCUCAGGUGCGAAAGCGUGGGGAGCAAACA